GAGAAUGGUGCAUUGACCACAGUUGGCCUUGUGGCUUCACUCAUCGAAUCGAAAUAAUAUCAGUUACAUUGGUGUGUGGGACACCUGCCUGAGGCUUUGAUAGGUGAGAGUGUCUGCUUCACCAUCUCCCAACUAGCCUCAGGGGAAUUCUCACCAAACCGACCACCCACGACGAUACAGACCCACCUCCCCCCCCCCACCGUGUGUAUAGGAGGAACAAGUGUGAGCGAGCUGUAUACGAGCCUCCGGAUUCAAGCUGUUUCUGUACAAAGCAGGAACGGCACACGCACCAUCAGUAUGCAAGGCCUAUAGACAAAAGGAGCUUAGUGCUUACAACACCAACAGGCAUUCACUGCGGAGCGCAGCAGGUUGCCAUGCAACGGGAGCGGCAGAGGAUGAUGCCGGUCGGCCGGUCCGCCUAAUUUUGGAGACCGCUUGGUUCAGCAAAUGCGGUCGUUGAAGGCCCCCAUCCACGUUGACUGAAAAGGCUGGGUCAUCUUUUUAACUGGUAAAAUAAGUAAAACAAAGUAACCCAAUGGAGC
ensembl:lncRNA